ensembl:snRNA U6 U6 spliceosomal RNA
GUGCUCAUUUUGGCAGCACAUAUACUAAAAUUGGAAUGAUACAAAGAAGAUUAGCAUGGCACCUGCACAAUGACGACACUAUUGAAAAAAUAUUCUUAAUCUUU